rnacentral:rRNA from 1 species
UACAGAGGGUGCGAGCGUUGUUCGGAAUUAUUGGGCGUAAAGGGCGCGUAGGCGGUGCCACAAGUCACUUGUGAAAUCUCCGGGCUUAACUCGGAGCCUGCAGGCGAAACUGUGGUGCUGGAGUGUGGGAGAGGUGCGUGGAAUUCCUGGUGUAGCGGUGAAAUGCGCAGAUAUCAGGAGGAACACCGAUUGCGAAGGCAGCUCGCUGGGACGUAACUGACGCUGAGACGCGAAAGCGUGGGGAGCAAACAGG